rnacentral:rRNA from 1 species
AAGUUGGAUUCGCUAGUAAUCGCGCAUCAGCCAUGGCGCGGUGAAUACGUUCCCGGGCCUUGUACACACCGCCCGUCAAGCCAUGGGAGCCGGGGGCGCCUGAAGUCCGGGACCGCGAGGACCGGCCUAGGGCGAAACUGGUGACUGGGGCUAAGUCGUAACAAGGUACC